UACGAAGGGUGCAAACGUUGCUCGGAAUCAUUGGGCGUAAAGCGCACGUAGGCGGUCGCGCAAGUCGGAUGUGAAAUCUCAGGGCUCAACCCUGAAACUGCAUUCGAUACUGCGUGGCUAGAGUGCUGGAGAGGAGACUGGAAUUUACGGUGUAGCAGUGAAAUGCGUAGAUAUCGUAAGGAAGACCAGUGGCGAAGGCGAGUCUCUGGACAGCAACUGACGCUGAGGCACGAAGGCCAGGGAAGCAAACGGG
rnacentral:rRNA from 1 species